CAAAAGAAAAACCUGGUUUAAAUCACGUCAUUUAACUGACAGCAUAGCUUAGCCGAUGGAAGGAAACUAAUACACUAUUUCUCAAGUGUAGCCGUACACGGGUUUCAACCUUCAAUCUAAUUUUAGAAAAUGGGAAAUUUGUCUUACAUAAUAUUCAGCUCAGACAUUCUUUCAAGCCACCUCGAGCAAUUUAAGUUACGACGCGGACUCAAAUAUUUGGUAUAUCAAAUAGAAAAUUCAAAUUAGCCAUGA